CAGAUCGAGCUGGAUGGUAUGUACCCUCCAUGAGCGGCACGACGGGAUGUAUACACGUGUGUCCCCUACCUUUUACACGGAUAUCACCCCUGAAAACGGGCGCUUCUCCCAGAUGAUAUCUUUCUUCUCACAUGAAGAAGAAAGGAAAGGCCCAAACAACCCCUCCUAAAAAUAUGGCCCCCCGCCCCUAUUACCUAUUUGGGGGGGAAAAGGCUCACCAAGGCAACAAUCCUUACCCAACCUAAAAGGGUAACCGGCCCCCCUGGAACUAAAACACGGCCCAAACUCCUACGGAAGGCACCAUUAGGGAAUCUUCCCCAAUGGCCAAAACCCUGACGAACCACCCCCUUGUAACCAAAAACGGCCUUCGAAUUGUAAACCUCUGUCUUUUGGAACAAAAGGCUUGAAAAGGAAAUGCUCAAUGUAAAACGGUCCCAAAGAAGGAACCCCCGGUUAAUUACUUGCCACCACCCCCGGUAAU
rnacentral:rRNA from 1 species